AAACGGGGAUAGUCCUGGGGACUUUCCUUAUCAUGUUUGCUUUUUUUAGGAUAGCCAGGUGUUAUGCAGUAAUUCUACAUCAGGUGGCAGUAUUGAGAUGAUGAGGAGUUUUAUUGAAAUACCAGCAGAAUUUAAUUGUGUGUACAAAUCAUAACAGAAUCUAUAUUAAACAUAUUUAAUUUCAAGCUCUGGACACGUAAUACGUUGUUAGUUUAGCUGCUGCUACAGUUCUCCAUAAGUCUUUCACAGAAAUGGCUUCAGGCAUAGGUUGUCCAAGAAGCCACAAAUUGUACUUAAAAUGUGUUUCACUGGGCUUUUUCUUUACUUCUUAAAAACUCUGGAAAAACUAAUCUUUGGCGUUUAACAUCUGCUGUGGUCAAAUGAGGUCUCUCACCUCAAACGACUCAGCCAUAGAUACUGUAACUAUUUCUGCCCUUCUUCAAUAUCAGGCUUAAAUUACAAAUAUCUCACAGCAGGAAUGAAACCCAUCAAGCCUGUAAUCUGAAGCAGCAACGAAUGAUCAUAGGACGUCUUCUGAAAUGUACAUUUCAGAAAAUCCUGUGAAAUGGGUUUAGGCCACAGAGAUAUUUUGCCUUCUGUGUGCAGAAGAGUGCACAUAUUGAAUCAAUAUCUAGGCCUGGGAGCAGAAGGUCGCUCUUUGGUGCUGCAGCAGAAAUAGAAGUGACCCUUGUUUCCUGUCGCUCUGUCCUCUGCCAGUCAGGCGGAAGUCAUUGUGGGUUCACGCCGUCGGUGAGCCUAAUCAGGGCGGUCAGCAUUUAAGCCAGGAGGUGACUGCUGUUCUUCGCUGGAUUGUUGUCUGCCAGGCACCUCCUGGAUUCCCUCCCCGUGCGAUUCUUUGUGUCAAGUGUGGAAGAGUGAACCUGUGGCUGUGAGUGUGGAGAGUUGGAGAAUGCGUGACUACUCCCGUGGAUUUCCCCGGAGCCCCGUCCCUCACCUAAUUGUAUAUAGCACUGCCCCGCACUUCCCAUAAAUACACAAUGUGGAUUCUGCAAAUAAAUUAUUGUGUACAGCUGAUUCUGGAGUCCUGCGCUUGAGCCCUCACCAUCGAACUGUAACAAGUUAGCUUUUUUGUCCAGCAUUCAUCUAUAAAGACAAUAAGAAAAAACCAAAUAGAUGUGAUAUGCUUGGGAAACUGUUUUCUAACUGAAGCUGGUUGCAUGCUGGCUGAAUAUCUUUUCUUGUAACGUUAAACUUUAAGUGAAAAUUAAACUGCACGAUCCCCACCUUAAUUGUUAAUAUUCUCCAUAGAUACUAAAGACCCGGUGUAGGAAUGAAUGCAUGCAGUCGAUCUGUUAAAAUAAGGAGUUAUAUUAACCCAGAGCCUUGUGCUGCAUUAGCUGUACGAGAAUGUAAAAUGUAAAGGCAGAAGAAACCAUUUCUUCUAAUGGCUCAUCUGUAGUCUUGAUGAUU